rnacentral:hammerhead_ribozyme from 1 species
ACUUAGUUGACGAGUCCUGAAUAGGACGAAACAUGCGUCCUAGAU